rnacentral:rRNA from 1 species
UGGGGGAGUAUUGCACAAUGGGGGGAACCCGUGAUGCAGCGACGCCGCGUGGGUGAAGAAGCGCCUCGGCGCGUAAAGCCCUGUCAGCAGGGAAGAAAAUGACGGUACCUGAAGAAGAAGCCCCGGCUAACUACGUGCC